GACAGGGGAUGUGCUGGCGUCAAGGGGGCCCUCUAGGUGGGUUCCCAGACACUGCAGAGCAGCGCACUCCGCUCGCCUCCAAAGAAGAGUGAGCUAAAGGGGUUAAAAGGAAGAGCUUGCCCUGAAGGAGCAGAUUUCUUUCAGCCAAAGUGGCAUGUUGUGCAUCAGCAGCAGCAGCAGCAGCAACAACAACAACAAGAACAAGAACAAGAAGUCUGAAUUUUUCCCAGGAAUAUUGCACAUGGGACAUGAUACAACUAUCAGAGUUGGGACUAUCACCAGUAAAGACAUGUCUACUGGCAAAAUGAAGCAACUGGUCAAACAGCCUCAUGCUACCACACUCAAGCACAAGUAAAGGGAUGUGUACAGGCUGAAAUCCAUGUUUGCACACAUUGGAGCUACACGACACACAGUGUUGUAGAUGCAUUACCCUUGAUACAAUACAGUGUUGUAGAUACAUACCCUUACACAACCCAGCACGGUGUGUGUGUUUCAGACACAACCUCUCUACACAGCAUAGCACAGUGUUGUACACACAUAUUCUCUACAUAACACAGUGUUGUAGAUACAUACUCUCCACAUGACAUGGCACAGUGGGUCAGGACAAAGAAAGUGACAUUUGCAGCAGGAUGAAGAGAGGUGUUGGGCCAUAUGCUUGUUACCUAUCUCAUCCUCACUGAAUAUGUAUGUGUAUAUAUAUAUACAUAUAUAUAUAUAUAUAAUGGAUAUUUUAAUACCUCUUUCCAGUUCUGUCACUCCUUCUGCCAGUUUCAAAAGUCAUAUA
rnacentral:lncRNA from 1 species